rnacentral:rRNA from 1 species
CAGUAGCCGCGGUAAUACAGAGGGUGCAAGCGUUAAUCGGAAUUACUGGGCGUAAAGCGCGCGUAGGUGGUUUGUUAAGUUGGAUGUGAAAUCCCCGGGCUCAAACUGGGAACUGCAUCCAAAACUGGCAAGCUAGAGUAUGGUAGAGGGUGGUGGAAUUUCCUGUGUAGCGGUGAAAUGCGUAGAUAUAGGAAGGAACACCAGUGGCGAAGGCGACCACCUGGACUGAUACUGACACUGAGGUGCGAAAGCGUGGGGAGCAAACAGGAUUAGAUACCCCGGUAGUCCCUGUCUCUUAUAA